GCAGCCGCGGUAAUACGGAAGAUGCGAGCGUUAUCCGGAUUUAUUGGGUUUAAAGGGAGCGUAGGCGGGCUGUUAAGUCAGCGGUAAAAUUUCCAGGCCCAACCUGGUCGUGCCGUUGAAACUGGCGGUCUUGAAUGCACACAAGGGAGAUGGAAUUCGUCGUGUAGCGGUGAAAUGCUUAGAUAUGACGAAGAACUCCGAUUGCGAAGGCAGUCUCCUGGGGUGUUAUUGACGCUGAGGCUCGAAAGUGCGGGUAUCAAACAGGAUUAGAUACCCC
rnacentral:rRNA from 1 species